rnacentral:rRNA from 1 species
GGGACGGGCGGGUGCUAUACAUGCAGUCGAACGCGUUGGCCCAAUUGAUUGAUGGUGCUUGCACCUGAUUGAUUUUGGUCGCCAACGAGUGGCGGACGGGUGAGUAACACGUAGGUAACCUGCCCAGAAGCGGGGGACAACAUUUGGAAACAGAUGCUAAUACCGCAUAACAGCGUUGUUCGCAUGAACAACGCUUAAAAGAUGGCUUCUCGCUAUCACUUCUGGAUGGACCUGCGGUGCAUUAGCUUGUUGGUGGGGUAACGGCCUACCAAGGCGAUGAUGCAUAGCCGAGUUGAGAGACUGAUCGGCCACAAUGGGACUGAGACACGGCCCAUACUCCUACGGGAGGCAGCAGUAGGGAAUCUUCCACAAUGGGCGCAAGCCUGAUGGAGCAACACCGCGUGAGUGAAGAAGGGUUUCGGCUCGUAAAGCUCUGUUGUUAAAGAAGAACACGUAUGAGAGUAACUGUUCAUACGUUGACGGUAUUUAACCAGAAAGUCACGGCUAACUACGUGCCAGCAGCCGCGGUAAUACGUAGGUGGCAAGCGUUAUCCGGAUUUAUUGGGCGUAAAGAGAGUGCAGGCGGUUUUCUAAGUCUGAUGUGAAAGCCUUCGGCUUAACCGGAGAAGUGCAUCGGAAACUGGAUAACUUGAGUGCAGAAGAGGGUAGUGGAACUCCAUGUGUAGCGGUGGAAUGCGUAGAUAUAUGGAAGAACACCAGUGGCGAAGGCGGCUACCUGGUCUGCAACUGACGCUGAGACUCGAAAGCAUGGGUAGCGAACAGGAUUAGAUACCCUGGUAGUCCAUGCCGUAAACGAUGAGUGCUAGGUGUUGGAGGGUUUCCGCCCUUCAGUGCCGGAGCUAACGCAUUAAGCACUCCGCCUGGGGAGUACGACCGCAAGGUUGAAACUCAAAGGAAUUGACGGGGGCCCGCACAAGCGGUGGAGCAUGUGGUUUAAUUCGAAGCUACGCGAAGAACCUUACCAGGUCUUGACAUCUUGCGCCAACCCUAGAGAUAGGGCGUUUCCUUCGGGAACGCAAUGACAGGUGGUGCAUGGUCGUCGUCAGCUCGUGUCGUGAGAUGUUGGGUUAAGUCCCGCAACGAGCGCAACCCUUGUUACUAGUUGCCAGCAUUAAGUUGGGCACUCUAGUGAGACUGCCGGUGACAAACCGGAGGAAGGUGGGGACGACGUCAGAUCAUCAUGCCCCUUAUGACCUGGGCUACACACGUGCUACAAUGGACGGUACAACGAGUCGCGAACUCGCGAGGGCAAGCAAAUCUCUUAAAACCGUUCUCAGUUCGGACUGCAGGCUGCAACUCGCCUGCACGAAGUCGGAAUCGCUAGUAAUCGCGGAUCAGCAUGCCGCGGUGAAUACGUUCCCGGGCCUUGUACACACCGCCCGUCACACCAUGAGAGUUUGUAACACCCAAAGUCGGUGGGGUAACCUUUAGGAGCCAGCCGCUAAGUGACAGAUUG